GCGCCUACGGGCGGGUUAGCCGGCCUGUCCGGACGGUCGCGGAGCCGUCCGCCACGGGCGGCCGGAUCGUGACCGGCUACGCGCU
rnacentral:tRNA from 1 species